GCCUGGCUGGCUCAGUUGGUAGAGCAUGAGACUCUUGACCUUGGGAUUGUGAGUUUGAGCCCCAUGUUGGGUU
rfam:Ailuropoda melanoleuca scaffold2268_16, whole genome shotgun sequence.